UCUAGGAGCUGUCAGAUUAAACCCCCAGACCCACAAGAAAAUCCCUGAAGCUUCGUUGACUUUUGCUGAUGGAGCCUCUCUGAAGGGCAAAUUCAAAGUACAGCUGGGUGCUGCAGCACUGGAGUGCGAACUUGUGGCUGUGGUUAUGAAGGAGCCUCGUCAGCUAUGCCUUUAGCCCCUGGUGAAGCAGUGCCAGUCACACUUUGCCAGUCAAACGGAGAGGCAGCAGUAGUAAGACCAGACCAAAUCAAACCAAACCAAGCAAACCACGGGGAAUGGAG
rnacentral:lncRNA from 1 species